GGGGAAUCUUCCGCAAUGGGCGAAAGCCUGACGGAGCAAUACCGCGUGAGGGAGGAAGGCUCUUGGGUCGUAAACCUCUUUUCUCAGGGAAGAAGGAAUUCCCGGUACCUGAGGAAUAAGCAUCGGCUAACUCCGUGCCAGCAGCCGCGGUAAUACGGAGGAUGCAUGCGUUAUCCGGAAUGAUUGGGCGUAAAGCGUCCGCAGGUGGCUGUGUAAGUCUGCUGUUAAAGAGUGAGGCUCAACCUCAUAAAAGCAGUGGAAACUACACGGCUAGAGUGCGUGUGCGUUCGGGGCAGAGGGAAUUCCUGGUGUAGCGGUGAAAUGCGUAGAGAUCAGGAAGAACACCGGUGGCGAAAGCGCUCUGUUAGGCCGCAACUGACCCUGAGGGACGAAAGCUAGGGGAGCGAAAGGGAUUAGAUACCCCAGUAGUC
rnacentral:rRNA from 1 species